AUGUAUCAUAUGAAUUUUAUUAAUCGCUAUAGCACUAGCUGCGAUAAGGAAGAUUAUAAAAAGAAUCUUUAUAGACUCAAACGCGACAGAAACACAUUCGAAACUCUAUUUGGAGGAGAGUCUACAUUAGAAUCAUUUGCUAAUAAAAAUAAAAUUAACAGAACGAGUAAAAAAUAUAGAAAUUAUAACGUAAUAAAAUGUAUAAGUAGGCAGUUAAAUUAUUAUGUAAAUAAAGGUCCAAGUAAUGAAUCGGUUAAAAUAUUAAUUGAACAAGUAAGUUAUAUUAGUUUUUUUACUUUAAUAAAAAAUAUAUUAACAUAUUUACCUUUUCCUAUUACUAAUUAUUUAAUUGGAACAGUACAAUUAAAAAAUAUACUUAAUAACAGUGAUAAUUUAUGUUUUAAAUUAUAUACAAAAGAUGAAUUAAUGAAAUAUGUUUAUAAAAAUGAAGGGAAUAUAUUAGUAGACAAUCAAAUAUAUAUCUUGUUUGCAAAAUAUAAAAUAAUAAAAUAUAAAAAUGAACUUAUGAACCAUUCAUAUUUUUUUAAUGGAACUUAUACAAAUAAUAACAAUAAGAGUAACAAAUAUAGCAAUAAUAACAAUGUCAAUAAUGAUGAACAUAUGGAACUUAUUAAAAUGAGAAAUAUAUUAUUAGAAAAAACUCGUACAUUUAUGUAUAACAAUUAUGCAUUUGUAGAAGGUAGAAGUAAAAACAUAUCCUAUAUAUAUGAUAUAUGUCAUGCUCUAAAAUAUAAAACCAAUACAUUUUUAUUAUCAGUAUUUAUAUUUGACUGUUAUAUUAAUCGUGUUAAUCAAAUAACUAACAAAAAUCAUUAUAAAAAAAUAAAACUUUUAGUUAUUAUAUCUUCUAUUUUAUUAGCUAUUAUAAGAACACAAACUUUUAAAGUUGGGGAAAAAGUUCCAUGUCAUGUACAAAAAAUAUUAUUUUAUAUAAAUAGAAAAAAAAAUAUAAACAUAAGAUUUUCAUGUAUUCAAAUAGCAAAUAAACAAAUGGAAAUGUUAAAAUUCUUACCAAGUAAUUAUACUAAUUUAUUAACUUAUUCAGAGUUAGUUUAUAUUUAUCUUUAUAAUUUAAAAAAAUGUUCUGAAAUAUUCCCAGCUAUUAAAAUAUAUUUUACAUUUUUAGAAGAGUUUGGAUUUUUAUAUUAUAUAUUUGAUGUUAUAUAUACAUAUUCUAUGUAUAUUGUUUCAGUUGGAUUAUAUUCAGUCAUACCACCCAGUCGCAUUGCAGCUUGUAUUAUUUUAUAUUUUAGUAACGCUUUUUUUAACAGAGUAGGUAACAUUAAUUUAUUCCAAGAGCAAUUUUGUGAACAUAUUUUCCAUUUAUCCUAUACAAAUGAUUUGCUUGUGUGGUCAUAUCUUUUUUUCAAUAAUUUUAUUUAUUUUUUUGAAAAUUGUUUUAUACCUAAUAAAAAUUAUGUAAUGAUACAUUCAAUUUUUCAUGGAACAGGACGAAUGUUGAACCUUUAUAAAGCUUUCUAA
rnacentral:lncRNA from 1 species